AUUUGAUGUCUUAUUUCAUAUCAUUGCAAUCAUCUUAGAGUAUAAAAUCAUAACUUUAAAAAUACAAUUAUUUGGUACAUACGCAAAUACUAAAUGACAGCUUCACGGAUAUUCUAGCAUACAAUAUAUUGUACAUUUCUUUUGCUAGAGCAAAAACUCGUUCAUCUCACCCAGCUACUUAUACAAAAGCCUUUCCGACAUCUACCUAUAUAAUUUUGCACGUUUGGACAAUCUUUAUCUGUUAUACAAGAACGAGUAGAAGGUAAAUACGUGGAAUCACAUACUAUUAAGACAAGAAAUAUGGAAAUAAAUAUAAUCAAAACAUAAACAAACUUCGGAGUUUCAGCCAUAUUUUUCACUCUUUGAAUCUAAUGUAGGAUAAGAUUUGCUCUAUUUAUAGUGUAUAAAGUUCAUGCUCUCAUAAUCAUUAAACUGUUUAAAAAUCUCUUCAGAAACUUAGAAUAAUACUAAAUGCCCAUUAAGUAUAUCUGUGUUGUAUUGGUCCUUUUCACUCUUAGAAAGGAGUUCAAAUCAUAAAAUUGAUAAUAAUAAGAAUUACAUCAUCAAUUUUAUUAAAUUGUGAAUGUGAAGAAAAAAGUAAAUAAAAGUUAUAAGUUAAAUAAUAUUAAAUUCUAAUCAUAAUAAAUUUUAUGAUUUGAACUCCUUUCCAAGUGUGCAAGGGACAAGACAACAAUUUGAUAUAUUUAAGAGGUGUUUAGGAAAUAUUCUAAUUUAUUUAAGUGUUUUUUUUUUUUUGUCAAGUAGUCUAGUGGUUAGAAAUUUAACACAUAAAAUGAAUAAGUGGGGAAUCAGGUUCGAACCCCGACCCCGACAUAUAUAAUGUGAUAUCUUUACCAACUAAAAAAAAGUUAUGCUCAUGAGGACAAAUGAUAACCAACAUAAUCAUAGGUUAUUACAUUGCAUGAACUAGUAAUGCUCGUUGUUGUUGUUUUAUGGAUUAGAUUAAGGAUUUGCGUAUUGAUACAAGAAGAUACAAUGUUGUUGUUUUGAAGAAGUUAAAUUAAUCUAUCCAAAUUGGUACGGGAGGUAAUCAAACUUGAGACCUUGAGGAGGAGCACAUUUUCAGGUCUCAAGCCAUUACCAUCAGACCAACUCAUGUGAGUUUCAACUCAUCUAAAGUUGUCUAAUAUAUAUCAUAGAUAGUGGAUUCUCUCUUAGUUUCUCUUUUUGAUUAUUUCUUGAGUUAAACUAAUUACUGUUACAAAUCACCAUAUCAAAUCUCUUUUCGGUGUGUGCUAAACCACCCUUGCCAUUACUCCAAGUAAAUUGUGCAUCCACAAUAGAUAAAUGAAUCUAUGACAGUUGUGAUUAGUUCAAACUGGUGUUGAUAUCUCCCAUGAAGGAAUAAUAUAGUUCUUAUUUAUUGUGGAUAAAAGUCCAUAAUAUUUUUCUAGUAAUGUAGUUAUUGGUGGAUGCAUAAGGUUUCAAGUAAAUGAAAUGUGUUUUUUUUUCAAGGAAUAAAUGAAAUGUGUUGAAUAGAAUUACUAAUGACAAUAGGAUAAAUAAUAUGGUUAGCACAAAAACCCCAUAAAUUAGGAAGCAAAUCACCUUUAUUGUCAAAAUAAAAAGAACUUGUCAUGCAAGUUAUUGAAAAAAAUAAUAGUUUUUUGAUUGAAACGUAACCUUUUGGAAUCAAAUUAUGACCAGAAAUUGGCAAUACCCCACCAACCUCAUUACAGGUAAUAGGAUUCCCAACAUUGUUGCCAUUGUUUUUUUUUUUUUUUUUUUUUCUUUCAAGUAGAUUAGUGGUUAGAGCUCACACAAUUUAAUUGUGGCGAAGUGGGGUGACCGGAGUUCGAACUUCGGCCUAGGUAUAUAAUAUGCGAUAUCCCUACCAGCUGAGCUAAGCUCACAGAGAUUUAUUUUUUCCUAUCCUCUAAGAUUGGAAAUAAAUAGACUAAAAUUUGCAGUAACUUCAUCAUCCUUCAAUCUUGUUAUUAAUGUUAGACUAAAAUUUGCAGCUCAUUCUUCUUUGUGGCCGCAUUUACCUCUUUGUCUAGUAAGGACUGAGGGUGCACCUGCACACCCUGAAGUUAUGAAAUUUACACCAAUAAUCUUAUGUUAUUUCUAUUUGCACGCCCUGAGUUUUUAAGUUUGUACCCGAUCAAGAGACUUCCUCACUUUUUUAAGUGUAACUUGCUUCUGAUUUUAUAUUGUGUUUAUUGUCUUUUCGAGAAUGCACAGUAUGCAGCCUAGAGUAUAGCUUCCUUCUUUUUGUGUCGCCCAGAGUUACGCUUACAAAGCCUAACCAGUAAACUAUGGUGAUUUAAUUACACGCCAAUAUAGUAUAUAUCUAAUUACAUAUGGUUUAUUUUAUUAAUCUUUCAAAUGUUAAAUAGUGUAGAAUUUAUAAUUUGUCAAAUUCAUUUUCCUAAUAAUAACAAUACAAGUUUAAUGGAUAUGCAAUAUUUACACUGUCAUCCUAUGUGAACACAUUAUCUUGCCAUUUCCUUUUUUUUUACCAACACAACAUCUUACCAUGUAAGUCUAUUUUGCAACCAUUUUUUUUUUUUUUAAAAUAUAACUGCCACAAGCUAUUAUAUUUUUAUUGGACCUUAAUGUAAAAUUAGUUUACACUAACAAUGCAUGUCAUAUUUUAUCUAAUAAAUGAAUGAUUAAAUUAAAGGAAAAAUAGUUCUAUAAAAAAUGUGUGUGUCUAACAGUCCUAACUCAACUGACAAAUAUCAAAAUUGUAAGGUUGGAUGUCGUGAUCCUAAUUCCCAAAAGUUUAAGGUUAUCUAUAACACCCUAAUUCUCGAUGUUGAUUUAAUAAACAACAAUAUCUUUUUUUUUUUUGGGUUACAUAAAACAAUAAUAUCUUUAAAUGAAAGGAUUUUACACAAUACUCGUUAGUCUAUCAAUAAAUAAAUAAAUAAUGCAUCAUAUUUCAGCAUUGGUGGAUACUUCAAAAUAUUUCAUAAAUAAAAGAAUAUGAUCCUCAACAUUAUUUGUGGAAAAUAACAUAAAAUUUCACAAGACUUAAACUUGAUAGAAUUAAACAUUCAAUGUUUGCCCCUAACCCUAGUGUUACAAAUCAGAGCACGAGUUUUUCGACUACAAAAAAUCACUAAAUAAUAACAACGGAAGUAAAUCCCCUUCGUCACCUCCUAAGCGUCCCGCAACUAGAGCUCUCUGUCUGGAGUAUCUGUACCCGAAUAGUACAUACACCAUAAAUGCAACAACAACAAAGGGGUGAGAAUAUAUGUCAUAACAUUUAGUUGUGACACAUGAAUAAUAUAUAAAUAGACAUAGCAUCUUUAGUCAACAUUUACAAUAUAUUCAAAUUCUUCAUCAAAUUAUACAUCAUCAUUCACACAUCAUCAUUAUCAUAACUCCUCAGGUUCAAAAAAUUAAAGAAACACACGUAACAUUCACAAUACAUCAACAUUAAUACAUCAACAUAUAUGUGGGGAAAUGCAACUCAUUCCUAAGACGUAUCUGCAUGUUGGUACGUUUUCUACUCGACAUUUGCAUGUCAGAGUUGUAAUAUUCAACAUACAUACAACAUAAUCAACAUUUUAUGUCAGAGUUGAUACCGUAAAUAUUACGAGAUAAGGAUCCUAUAUAUAUAUAUAUAUAUAAAACAAUUUUCCACCUUAUUUCAUUUCGUUGCCAACAUCUUAGAGUACAAAAUCAUAACUUCAAGGUUCAUAAAAUUUAGAAAAGAAAAUACAAUUAUUUGGUGCGUGCACGAAAACCAAAUGACAGUUCCUCGAAUAUUCCAGCAUAAAGUAGAAUCUACAAUUCUUUUGCUAGAUCAGCUGGAACACAUUCAUCCUCGUGGGAUUAGUAGGCAUUGGGUUUUACGACACCUAGCAGUAUAACCUCUCAAUUGUGGACAAUCUUUAUCUGUUUUACAAACUGGAGAACUUGGAAAAAAAGAAGAUUCACAUACUAUUAUGACAAGAAAUAUUGAAAUAAAUAAAAUUAAAACAUAAACAAACUUCAGAGUUUCAGUCAUAUUUUUCGCUCUUUGUAUCUAAAAAAUAUGAUAAGAUUUGAUAUUUUAUAGUGUAUUAAAUUUAUGCUCUCAUAAAAAUAAUUAAAUAGUUAAUUGGCAUUUAUUAAAAUUUUAAAAACCCUUCAUAAAGUUACAAUAAUAAAUGUCUCUUUGUAUAUCACUGUGUUCUGUUUGUCCUUUACACACCUAGAAAGCAUUUCAAAUAAUAAUAAACUUGAUAAUCAAUAGAAUUGAAUAUUAUUUAACCAACUUUUCAGUGUACUUUACCAUUAAAAAACAAUAUCAUUACUUUUUAAUCCUUUCGUGAUAGUAAAGGAAAAAAAACAUAUUUUUUACCAUCGUAAAAUUAUCUACGGAUAUAAUGCAUCCUUGGGUUGAGACCAUAUUUAUGCGCAAGUAGAAUGGACAUAUGAUCAAUUUAUAUUUUAUAUUAAAUCAUUGGAUCAUAAAGAAUAUGAGACAUUUGCUAAAACCGUGUGUCUGAAUAGUACCACAUAAGUUCUUUUUGGAGGGAAAUCGAGAUCAUUAAAGGCAGUAGAAAUUUAAAAAAAAAAUGAUUUCCUAUCUUUUGAUCAUUACAAAUUUGACAUUAUCAUUGGUGGAAUUGUUACCUUGAAGUGCAUAAAAAGAUUUCGAUCACAACAAAGCAACGUACCAGUGCCUCCACCCAUCCACACGAAUAGUUCUCCUCUGGUUCUUGGUGCUAGCCAAGUGAUCAGAGGUUCAGAGAGAACUAGGGUUAAUUUGUUUUUUGGUUUUAGCGUUUCUACAAAAACGUGUAACCUCUGACUUCAACACAACGGUUCUAUUUAUAUAAGAAAAUUGUUCUUCUCCCAUUAAGUUUGUCUCAUUUGCAACCGAACUACCCCAAAUACCCCCGCGUGAGUUAACUCACACAUGUGUUACACCCAACGUGACUUAACUCACACUUGCCACCUGACUUAAGUUAGUGUGAGUUAACUCACGUAGGUUAUAACCCAGGGUUAGUUAACUGAUGUAGGUUAUAACCCCACUGUGAGUUAACUCGUGUAGGUUAUAACCCCAGCGUGAGUUAACUCAUAUAGGUUAUAACUCAGCGUGAGUUAACUCACACAGGUUAUACUUCAGCUAACUAAGUGUGAGUUAACUCACGCCGGAGGUAUUAUGGUCAGUUUGUAUGAGAGGGAGUGUUGUUUAUGAGGAGAAGAUAAAUUUUCUUUAAAGAACUUUGUGUGCUCUGCAAGUCAAUUAAUCACUACUAGGCUUUGGGCUUUUAUAAGCCCAUUAACCAAUCAGCCUACGCUAACUAAUUAGCGUCAUUUUUUAGCACCCCAUCUUAUAAGUUUUACUUAUAUAUCUCCUUUUUACCGUUCAAUUGGGUGUGUUCCUAUAUGUUAAUGUAACGUUGGCAAUACUAUUAAAUCUUAUAUUUAAUAUUAUAAAUAGUGAGCGGUAUCUAACAACACAUCACGCCUACUCAAAUGACAAGAAUGUCAAGUGAUCUGACGAAACCUUUUUCAUGAUAAUGUUCAUGUGUACAAAUACUCCUUUGUCCUCAUAUCUAUAUCGAACACAAGGCAAAUAUUGUGUCACCCUUCUAUAGCUCGGUAUUUAUAUUUCUUGAUCCCGAAAUAUACUGAGUAACGAAUAAGUCAAAUAUCUCAUAUUAACUUCAUUCGGCAUGACCAUGCAAUUUUACCAUCAUAUUUCAUUAAGAGGACUAAAGAUAUAUCUCAUGUUACGAAGGAGGGAUAAACUCAUCUAGGACACUCAUGUCCCUCAGCGUGAUUUAUCAAAUGUCCAUUAACCAACGUUAUGGUUAUCCUGUUACAGACAACAUUCGAAUGACAAUAAAACUUUUGAUUCCACAUCUAGGGAUCAUAGUGGUUUCAGGACUAAGAGUGGUAUACACCGUUAUCAUUAUGAGAAUAUCUUAUGACAUUUUCAUAACAUAUAUAUUAUGUAGUAUUCUCACGGUGGGUUAAUCCAAUAUAAAUAUUGCUCAUAAUAUUUCUACCUGUGUAUAGACUUAAUAUUUCAUAUUCAUAACCCAUGAAAGGUAGUCAUCAGUCUACAUACAUAAUAGUCUAUACGCUUUACUAUUACACGAAUUUAGACUAAAGCUUGACUACAUGUACUUUUAAAUAUAGUGUUCUUUAUGUUAAUGUAAUUUCAUGAUUAAGUUACACUUAUUGUUCAAUCAUAUGAACUAUCCAUUCUAGAGACUUUAUUAAUCUUACAACAAGUAUAAUUAAAAAUCCUUUAUUUUAUUGAAUAAUAAAAGUCAUGAUACAUAUGAUAAGUUUAACAUAAACUAUUGUAUUAUCGAUUUUUAUAAAUAAUUUGUCUUUGUACUAAAUCGGAUCACUGGGUAAUAUCAAUCUGAAUCUUUGUGGUGUAUUUAGUUCAAAAUACAUAAUCAUUCAUUGAAAUAUAUAAAAUUGUGAGUUUCUCAUUUAAGAAUUAGAGAUUGAAUUUUCUAUUAGUUUCCUAGCCAUUUCGGCAUCAGAGCAAGGUUCUAAAUUUAGAGUUCAGUUUGUGUGACUUGAAGUCACUCAAAGCUAAGUAAAGGUGCACGCACCGAUGCGCAUCCAUAACUGCUCCAAUAGUGGGCUUUUUCUUCAAAACUCACCCCUCAACAAACGUUGACAUCAUAGAUUGACUAAGAUUAGAUGUGCAUUCAACUUUUUAACAUCGAAUUUUUUGGUUUUGUGAAUUUGUUUGCAUCCUUCGGUUUUUGUGUUUCUGUUUCCCACAAUGUCUGUGUCUAUACUCUAUAACUUACUUUCAGCUAGGUCAACCGAGUUAAUUGUCCACUUUGUGUUUAUUAUUAUUGUUUUAUUACUAAUUAGUAUAAAUAAAAAGGACAGGGUGAAUUCUUAAAUAAAUGUACCCAAAUAAUAAUAAUGAAAUAGGGAGGUACAAACAACUUAUAAUGUGGUACAUUAACAAUAUAUCAUAGCAACGGGGUCCUAACUCAAAUAUUCAAUUCUUCCUGAAUGCAAACAAUUAGAUUGGUUGACAUAAAAAGCAUUCAUCCAUGUCACCCUGAAUUUUCAACGGUCAAAAACAUCCGAUUAGAAAGAAAGAGACAUUUAUUUUGUUCUAUUUCUAGCUAGUUGCUUAUUCCAUGCUAUCAAUGGAACAUUUUUUUUUUUUUUACUUUCGCACCAGUUUCUGAUCCACUAAAGAUGGGCGACUAAUCCGGCUCGUGCGCAAAGGCAUGCACACUAGUCAAGCGUUCUUCCCCCUGGGAAUCGAACCCAGUAUUCCCUGGAUACGUCCUUGAAAUUAGCUACUUGCCACUGGAGCCGAAACAACUUGGUUAACGGAACAUUUAACCUCACAAGAUUUUGCAACAUUUUUGGAUCUAAGACUUGAAACCUUCAAUAAGCACCCCAAGAGUGGCCUAAUGAAAAUAUUAACUUCGUUAAAUUAUAUUAUUGGUUUGAAGUAUCCAUUCAUUUUGCCAAUAACUAUUAUCUGCCAGAAAAUUAGGCUAACCACCUUUAAUGGAUUCCUUCUUUCCUCGGAACCACGUUUUUUAAUCUAAAAUACUCGUAUUUGAGACUAUACUUAAAAGAUUCAGGCUCAAUUUCACCCAAACAAACAUAAUAUUUGUAUUACAUUUAUAUCAACAUGUUAUGGCAUAGAAAAUGUUAUAUAUAAAGACAUUGAGGACUAUCUACUCAUAUCUACAAAAACAAAUAGAGCCUUAGAAUUAAUAUACUCAAAUUCAAUAGGUUCAAUUCACUUAAAUGGCACCCUCUUCAAGUUUUGUUCCCUGUUGAUGUUUUUCUUGGUUUAAUUUUAGUACUAAGUGUUAUUAACCCUAUAGGUGAAGCUAGGGCAAGAGCGUUUGUAGUAUUUGGAGAUUUUCUUGUUCACCAACUGCUCCAUAAUCUUAUUCCAUUUGCUUCAAAAUGAGCAGAAAACAAAUUUAAGUGUAUUAUAAAAUGAAGAAAAAAAUUUAUAACCAAAAUAAUGAUAUGGAAAUAAGUUAAUUCCAACUCAUACAUGCUAUAUCGGCGCCACAUGAUAAUGAGCACAAGACAUCAUCAUAAUUGGCAGGGCCGUCUUUACAAAUUCAUAGGCCCGGUUUUAAUUUUAUAAGGGAUGCAAAAAAAAUAAAUUCAGGGCCCCAAAAAAUUAAAUAAGUUAUUUAAAAAAAAAAUAUUAGAAAUCACACUUUGGUGGGUCUUGAACACAUGACCUCACACUCAACAAAAAGUGGCCACGCCACUAAAGCAAGCUAUACAAAUUGAAAAAAUCCACUUUUAAUAGAUAUAUAACCAUUAUUUUCAUGUCUUACAUAUAAAAAAAAAAAUUGGGCCCCAAAAAAUUGGAGGCCCGGUGUCGUCGCCCAGCCUCGACGGGCUAUGGGCCGGCCCUGAUAAUUGGUGGGGGACCAAAGAAAACUCAAUAAUUGUGUAACAAGGGGACCAUAAAGUUGGAUUUUUUUUAUUGUCUGAGUUUGAACCCCGAACCUUACAUAUAUUAUGCAUUGUUCUUACUAACUAAGCUAAGCUCACAUGGACAAAAAAAAGUUGGAUUUUAAAUGAGAGGACCAAAAUUUCUUUUGUUUUUUUUUUUUUUAAAUAAGGGGAUCAAAAGUGCGUUUAAGCCUUUAGUUUAAUAGUCGUGUCGAAAACAACUAUUCAUGUGAAGAAGUUAACUUAGUGAUUUAUUAAUUGAAACGAUUUGAUGUACUUGCUGAAUUCGUCAUCAUCUACAAAGUUGAAUGAAUAAAUAUAUAUAUAUUUUUUUUUUACAAAAAGUAAGAUAAAAAUUAAUUUUCAACCAAACUAUUAUAUUGAUUUUUUUAGAUGGUUGGGUUGAAAAAAAAGGAGUGAUAUGUCUAGAAUGCAAAUCAUCAGGAUACCUUCAAAUUUACGAGAUAAAAAGACAUCUAUAAAAAAAAUAUCUGCUGUCUUAUUUCAUAUCAUUGCAAUCAUCUUAGAGUAUAAAAUCACAACUUUAAAAAUACAAUUAUUUGGUGCAUACGCAAAUACUAAAUGACAACUUCUCGAAUAUUCUAGCAUACAAUAUAUUGUACAGUUCUUUUGGUAGAGAAAGAACUAGUUCAUCUUAUCCUGCGUCUUAAACAAUAGCCUUUCCGACAUCUAGCUUUAUAAUUUUGCAGGAUUGAACAAUCUUUAUCUGUUAUACAAGGAAUAGAAAAAUGUAUAAAAGUGGAAUCACAUACUAUUAAGACAAGAAAUAUGAAAAUAAAUAUAAUCAAAAUAUAAAUAAACUUCAGAGUUUCAGCUAUAUUUUUCACUCUUUGAAUCUAAUGUAGGAUAAGAUUUGAUCUAUUUAUAGUGUAUAAAGUUCAUGCUCUCAUAAUCAUUAAAUUGUUUAAACAUUUAUAAAAUUUUAAAAACUCUUCAUAAAAUUAGAAUAAUACUAAAUGCCUCUUAAAUAUAUCUAUGUGUUUGUAUUGGUCCUUUUCACUCUUAGAAAGGAGUUCAAACCAUAAAAUUGAAGAAAAAAGUAAAUAAAAGUUAUAAGUUAAAUAAUAUUCAAUUUUAAUCAUAAUCAAUUUUAUGAUUUGAGCUCCUUUCCAAGUGUGUAAGGGACAACACAACAAUUUGAUAUAUUUAUGAGGUGUUUAGGAAAUAUUCUAAUUUAUUGAGCUCCUUUCCAAGGAUUUUAAAUGAGAGGAUCAAAAAUUCAUUUUUUUUUUUUAAAUAAGGGGAUCAAAAGUGCCUUUAAGCCUUUAGUUUAAUAGUCGUGUCGAAAAGAACUAUUCAUGUGAAGAAGAUAACUAAAUGAUGUAUUAAUUGAAACGAUUUGAUAUAUUUGUUGAAUUCGACAUCAUCUACAAAUUUGAAUGAAUAAAUAAAUAUAUUAAUUUUUUAUAAAAUGUAAGAUAAAAAUUAAUUUUCAACAAAACUAUUAUAUUGAUUUUUUUAGAUGGUUGGGUUGAAAAAAAGGAGUGAUAUGUCUGGAUUGCAAAUCAUGAGGAUAACCUUCAAAUUUACAAGAUAAGAAGACAUUUGUAAAUAAAAUUAUUUGUUGUCUUAUUUCAUAUCAUUGCAAUCAUCUUAGAGUAUAAAAUCACAACUUUAAAAAUACAAUUAUUUGAUGCAUACGCAAAUACUAAAUGACAACCUCUCGAAUAUUCUAGCAUAUAAUAUAUUGUACAAUUCUUUUAUUAGAGCAAGAACUAGUUCAUCUUAUCUUUUCACUUACACAGUAGCCUUUCCGACAUCUACCUUUAUAAUUUUGCACGUUUGGACAAUCUUUAUCUCUGUUAUACAAGAACGAGAAGAAGGUACAAAAGUGCAAUCACAUAGUAUUAAGACAAGAAAUAUGAAAAUAAAUAUAAUUAAAACAUAAACAAACUCCAGAGUUUCAGCCAUAUUUUUCACUCUUUGAAUCUAAUGUAGGAUAAGAUUUGAUCUAUUUAUAGUGUAUAAAGUUCAUCCUCUCAUAAUCAUUAAUUUAUUUAAACAUUUAUCAAACAAUUUGUCAUGGUGCUUGAGCAUAUGUGUCAAAACAAUUCUUGAGAAUAUUCAUAUUAGCAAGAGUACCUUUACAGAAAACUAAUCAUUAAAUCAUAUGCAUAUACACUAAUCACAUGAGAGGGGACUAAGGACCUCCUUGGCUUCUUAACCCCUCUUUAACAGGGAAAAAAACUAGCAAAUUUACCUUUAACCGGUAUUAAUAACCAUCCACUUAGGUUGGUGGUGGUAUUGGAUUGGGAUCUGGGAGUGUGCUCCUCCUUAAACUCUCAGAUUCGAUUAUCUUCGAUGUUAAUUUGGAUGAGCUAAUUUACCUUCUUACAAAAAACAGUAUUAACGUUUAACAACCUAGAGGCAUGCAAAAUAGUACUAAUCUAGUUGCAAAAUUUAUCAGCAAAACUGAAGCAAUUCAGCAAGUAGAAAUUUCCAAUCUGAUGUGUCAAAGGCCUUCCGAAUGUUUCUGCUUUGAUUAAAUCCCUUCUGGUGAGUAUAUAUACUUUUAGGCAUGAUAGAAGCAACUCUAUAGGCUAACAAUUGUGUGAAAAUAUUGAAUUUGAAUUUUGCCAAGGUUAUAGGUCUUCAAUUAUCCAUAUUAGUGGCUUCAAGACUUUUAGGAAUCAAAAUCACAUUGUUAGAAUUGUAGUUAGGAAGUAACCUAUUAAUUUUAAAGAAGUGAGAAACUGCAUUGAAGACAUUAGUUCUCACAAUGUCCCCAUAUAUUUUAUCAAAAAAUUGCAUGAUUUACCUUCACUACUAGGGAGAUUAGUAAGCAUUGCAUUCAUAAUGUUCUCAACAAUGUAAGGAAUGUAGUCAUCUGGAUCAUAUACUAGAUCAUCUUCAUGAAUAGUGAUAGAUUUAUUUGUGCAUUUAAUCUUGGCUAUUUUGUGAAAGAAUUUAGUAUUUCUUUCCUCCUAACUAAACAAAUGGACUCUACAAAAUUUUGUUCCUGAAUUGAUACAUAUUAGACAACGUAACAUAGCAUAAAGGUUAAGAUCUAUUGUCACCACCCUAGUAUGCUAGUGUUUCCCUUGCACCACCCUAUUAUUGACUCUAAACACAUUGUGUAUGACAUGUACAAUAUCUACAAGAAGAUUAUGUAUUCAUUGAUGCAUUAAUUAUUGAUACUCAACUUUAAUCUGGCAUGUAGGAUAACUACAAAUAAGGUCACUUCCUACAUGUAUUCUUAUCAUUGAAAUAUAUAAAAUUGUGAGUUUCUCAUUUAAGAAAUAGAGAUUGAAUUUUCUAUUGGUUUCCUAGCCAUUUCGGCAUCAGAGCAAGGUUCUAAAUUUAGAGUUCACUUUGUGUUACUUGAAGUCACUCAAAGCUAAGUAAAGGUGCACGCACCGAUGCGCAUCCAUAACUGAUGCAAUAAUGUGACCGGGGCUCGUGCGUAGAGGCAUGUACACUGGUCAAGCAUUGUUCUCCUUGGAAAUCGAACCCGGUAUUUCCCGGAUACGUCCUUGGAAGAAGCUACUUGCCACUGGAGCCCAAGCAACUUGGUUACGGAACAUUUAACCUCACAAGAUUUUGCAACAUUUUUAGAUCUAAGACUUGAAACCUUCAAUAAGCACCCAAGAGUGGCCUAAUGAAAAUACUAACUUCGUUAAAUUAUAUUAUUGGUUUGAAGUAUCCAUUCAUUUUGCCAAUAAUUAUUAUCUGCCAGAAAAUUAGGCUAACCACCUUUAAUGAAUUCCUUCAUUCCUUGGAACCACGUUUGUUAAUCUAAAAUACUCGUAUUUGAGACUAUACUUAAAAGAUUCAGGCUCAAUUCCACCCAAACAAACAUAAUAUUUGUAUUACAUUUAUAUCAACAUGUUAUGGCAUAGAAAAUGUUAUAUAUAAAGACAUUGAGGACUAUCUACUCAUAUCUACAAAAACAAAUAGAGCCUUAGAAUUAAUAUACUCAAAUUCAAUAGGUUCAAUUCACUUAAAUGGCACCCUCUUCAAGUUUUGUUCCUGUUGAUGUUUUUCUUGGUUUAAUUUUAGUACUGAGUCAUGCACCCCCAGAAGAGAGUAAAGCUGUAAAGAAUUAUGCAGUUUAAUAAACUACAAAAAUUAACAAACAUUGUUUGGAAAACAAAAAUUUACUUGACCAAAGAAAAGUUAGAAGUAUCUUUUGUAUAGUUCAAUCGUGAAGUUGAAAAGGCAUAGAUUUAAUUUUGUUAGACAUGUUUUUUUUUGUUUUGUUGAAGAUGUUUUUAGACAUGAUUUUAUUUGUCAAUUGGUGGUAACAGUAGACUAUUGUAAGGUUAGGCGUUGAAAAAUGAGGAAGUUGGACUAAAAAUCUCCUCACAUGAUUAAUAAUAUUUUUUUAGGUAAAAGAAGGAAAUCAUAAUCAUAAUUAAUAUUGUGUGAAUGAUUAGUAAGAAGAUUAUUACUUUUGUAGUUAAAAGAGUAAGAUAAAAAUUAAUUUUUAACUUAAUUAUUGAAAUGAUUCUCGUGGUGGAGUUGGGAAAAUACUGUGAUAUAUCUGAAAUUGAGGCCAUGUAUAUACUAGAUAAGGAUACAUUAUAAAUAAAACAAUUUUCCGCCUUAUUGCCUUUUGUUGCCAACAUCUUAGAGUACAAAAUUAUAACUUCAAGGUACAUAAAAUUGGAAAAAGAAAAAAGAAAAUACAAUAUUUGGUGCAUGCAUAAAAAUCAAUGACAACUCCUCGAAUAUUCAAUCAUAAAGUAUAAUCUACGAUUCUUUUGCUAGAGUAGAAACUCAUUCAUCUCACUAGGCUAUAUGUAGGCAUUGGCCUUUUGUGAGAUGGUCAUAGUUGACCUGCUUAUUUGUUGUAAUAAGGUUCAGGCUUACUCCUGCUUUGCAUUUUAAUUUUUCUAACUUUGAUAAAAAAAAAAACAAAAAAAAACCCUAUAGGUGAAGCUAGGGCAAGAGCGUUUGUAGUAUUUGGAGAUUUUCUUGUUCACCAACUGCUCCAUAAUCUUAUUCCAUUUGCUUCAAAAUGAGCAGAAAACAAAUUUAAGUGUAUUAUAAAAUAAAGAAAAAAAUUGAUAACCAAAAUAAUGAUAUGGAAAUAAGUUAAUUCCAACUCAUACAUGCUAUGUCGGCGCCAGAUGAUAAUGAGCACAACACAUCAUCAUAAUUGGUGGGGACCAAAGAAAACUCAAUAAUUGUGUAAUAAGGGGAUCAUAAAGUUGGAUUUUUUAUUUUUAAUUGUCUGAGUUUGAAUCCCGAACCUUGCAUAUAUUAUGCAUUGUUCUUACUAACUAAGCUAAGCUCACAUGGACAAAAAAAAGUUGGAUUUUAAAUGAGAGGACCAAAAUUUCUUUUUUUGUUUUUUUUUUUAAAUAAGGGGAUCAAAAGUGCCUUUAAGCCUUUAGUUUAAUAGUCGUGUCGAAAACACUAUUCAUGUGAAGAAGUUAACUUAGUUAUUUAUUACUUGAAACGAUUUGAUGUACUUGCUGAAUUCGUCAUCAUCUACAAAGUUGAAUGAAUAAAUAUAUAUAUAUUUUUUUUAUAAAAAGUAAGAUAAAAAUUAAUUUUCAACUAAACUAUUAUAUUGAUUUUUUUAGAUGGUUGGGUUGAAAAAAAGGAGUGAUAUGUCUGGAAUGCAAAUCAUGAGGAUACCUUCAAAUUUACGAGAUAAAAAGACAUCUAUAAAUAAAAUUAUUUGUUGUCUUAUUUCAUAUCAUUGCAAUCAUCUUAGAGUAUAAAAUCACAACUUUAAAAAUACAAGGCUUAAAUAUGUUUUUCAUCCCUGUAAUUAUAGGUCGUUUGAUUUUUCAUCCCUGGACUUACUAAUCCUUCCAUUUUGCCCCUGUAAUUACUAAUCAUUUGAAAGUUCGUCCCUCUUCUCGGAUAAUCACUGCCACGUCAUCAAAUUAGCAAAAUGGCAUGGGAAUUGACAAAAAUACCUCUGGCUUAUUUUUAAAAAUUUAAAAAUCUGAAAAUAAUUUUAAAAAAUAAAAAAAAUUUUAAAAAUAUAAUUUUUUGAAAUAUGAAAAAAAAUUAAAAUUAUAUAAUUUUUUAAAAUCUGAAUAUAUAAUUUCGAAAAUUAUUAAAAAAUCUGAUUUUUUUAAAAAUCAUAAUAAUAAUUUCGAAAAAAUUUACGAUUAUAUAAUUUUAAAAAAUAUAUUUUUUGAAAUAUGAAAAAAAAAAUGGAAAAUUAUAUAUUUUUUUUAAAAUCAGAAUAUAUAAUUUCGAAAAUUAUUAAAAAAUCUGAUUUUUUUUUAAAAUCAGAAUAUUAAUUUCGAAAAAAUCUGAUUAUAUAUUUUUUAAAAUUAUGUGAAAAAUUAUUUCAUUUUUUUUCGAAAAAGUUAUUUUCAAAAUAUUUUUAGAACUUUUUUAUGUUUUAAAAUUAUUUUCAGAUUUUUUUAAUUUAUAAAAACAAUUUUCAGAAUUUUAAAAAUAAGACAGGGGUAUUUUUGUCAAUUCCCAUGCCAUUUUGCUAAUUUGAUGACGUGGCAGUGAUUAUCCGGGAAGAGGGACGAACUUUCAAAUAAUUAGUAAUUACAGGGGCAAAAUGGAAGGAUUAAUAAGUUCAGGGAUGAAAAAUCAAACGGCCUAUAAUUACAGGGAUGAAAAACAUAUUUUUUCCAAAAUACAAUUAUUUGGUACAUACGCAAAUACUAAAUGACAACUUCUCGAAUAUUCUAGCAUACAAUAUAUUGUAUAGUUCUUUUGUUAGAGAAAGAACUAGUUCAUCUUAUCCUGCGUCUUACACAAUAGCCUUUCCGACAUCUAGCUCUAUAAUUUUUCACAAUUGAACAUUCUUUAUCUGAUAUACAAGGCUUAGAUAAUUGUAUAAAAGCGGAAUCACAUACCAUUAAGACAAGAAAUAUGAAAAUAAAUAGAAUCAAAAUAUAAACAAACUUCAGAGUUUCAGUCAUAUUUUUCACUCUUUGCAUCUAAAAAAUAGUAUAAGUUAUGAUAUAUUUAUAGUGUAUUAAAAAAUUUAUGCUCUCAUAAAAAUUAUUAAAUAGUUUAGGCAUUUUUUAAAUUUUAAAAACCCUUCGUAGAAUUAUAACAAUAAAUGUCUCUUAGAGUAUAUCAGUCUGUUUUUGUCCUUUUCACACCCGGAAAGAUGUUCAAAUACUCAACUUGAUAAUAUAAGAAUUUAAUUUUAUUUAACUGAAUUUGUUGGUGUACUUUUUUCUUCAAAAAAAAAAUAAAAAAAUUCAUAACUUUUUCAACCUUUCGUGACAGUAAAGCGCAACAAAUAUAUUUUUGACCAUCGUCAAAUUAUCUACGGAUAUAUCGUACCGUUGGUAUGAGACCAUAUUUAUGCACAAGUAAAAUGUAUGUAGGAUCGAUUUAUUUUCUUAUUUAAUCGUUGGAUCAUUAAGAUUGUGAGACAUUUGCUAAAAUCGUGUGCCUGGAUAGUAAGUAUGACGUAAGUUCUUUUAUACAUAGGAUUAAAUAAUUAAGAUUGUGAGAUGGUCAUAGUUGACCUGCUUAUUUGUUGUAAUAAGGUUUAGGCUUACUCCUGCUUUGCAUUUUAAUUUUUCUAGCUUUGAUAAAAAAAACAAAAAAAAACCCUAUAGGUGAAGCUAGGGCAAGAGCGUUUGUAGUAUUUUGGAGAUUUUCUUGUUCACCAACUGCUCCAUAAUCUUAUUCCAUUUGCUUCAAAAUGAGCAGAAAACAAAUUUAAGUGUAUUAUAAAAUGAAGAAAACAAUUGAUAACCAAAAUAAUGAUAUGGAAAUAAGUUAAUUCCAACUCAUACAUGCUAUGCUAUGUCGGCGCACAUGAUAAUGAGCACAACACAUCAUCAUAAUUGGUGGGGGACCAUAAAGUUGGAUUUUUUUUAUUUUUUUUUUGUUUGGGUUUGAACCCCGAACCUUGUAUAUAAUAUACAUUGUUCUUACUAACUAAGCUAAGCUCAUAUGGACAAAAAAAAGUUGGAUUUUAAAUGAGAUGACCAAAAUUUCUUGUUUUUUUUUUUUUUUUUUUUAAAUAAGGGAUCAAAAGUGCCUUUAAGCCUUUAGUUUAAUAGUCGUGUCGAAAACAACUAUUCAUGUGAAAAAGUUAACUUAGUGAUUUAUUAAUUGAAACGAUUUGAUGUACUUGCUGAAUUCGUCAUCAUCUACAAAGUUGAAUGAAUAAAUAUAUAUAUAUAUAAAAAUUAAAAUUAAGAUGUGGUUGGGUUGAAAAAAAGGAGUGAUAUGUCUGGAAUGCAAAUCAUGAGGACAGAGCUGUCAAAAUGGGCCGGGCCGUUUAUCCCGAAUAAAUAUAGGGCUUGGGCCUAAAAUAUUGAGCCUGAAUUUUAAUAGGGCUUUUUAGCCCGGCCCUUAAAAGCCCGGUACCCGUUAGGGCUAGCCCGAAUGGGCCGCGGGUAGCCCGUUAGCCCGCAUAACAAAAAAAAAUUCUAUAAAUUAUAUAUAUUUUUCGAAUAAUUAUUUACUUAGUUGAUUAUCAAAGUAAAAAACAAAAGUGAAAAUUCAAUGAAUUAACACAAAUAUAAAUGUAAUAUAAAAUCAUAUUUAUUCAUUUCGUUAUUUAUAGUUUUAAAGAUCGAAUAUAUAAAUAUCUAUAACCAUAACAUAUCUAAUUUAUUUAAAAUCAUUUUUCUCGUCGUUUUAGUUUACGACGUUUGUACGAAAAUGUUUACAAUUUACUUUUGUGCUAGACAUUAUUUAAAAAUAUUAAAAAUAUUAUUUAUAAAAAAAUUAUAGUAGUGUUUUAUAGUAUUUUUUUAAAAUAAAAAAUAUAUAAUUUUUAAUACGGGCCGGCCCGUUUAGCCCACGGCCCGUGUAGGGCCGGGCUCGGGUAGUAUAUUUCAAGCCCGUUUUGUCAACCGGGCUUUUUGGCCCGGCCCUCUAAAGCCCGAAGCCCGCUAGGGCCGGCCCGUUUAGGGCCGGGCUGCCCUUUUUGACAGCUCUACAUGAGGAUACCUUCAAAUUUACGAGAUAAAAAGACAUCUAUAAAUAAAAUUAUUUGCUGUCUUAUUUCAUAUCAUUGCAAUCAUCUUAGAGUAUAAAAUCACAACUUUAAAAAUACAAUUAUUUGGUGCAAUGCAAAUACUAAAUGACAACUUCUCGAAUAUUCUAGCAUACAAUAUAUUGUACAGUUCUUUUGUUAGAGAAAGAACUAGUUCAUCUUAUCCUGCGACUUACACAAUAGCCUUUCCGACAUCUAGCUUUAUAAUUUUUCAUAGGUGAACAAUCUUUAUCUGUUAUACAAGGCUUAGAUAAUUGUAUAAAAGCGGAAUCACAUACUAUUAAGACAAGAAAUAUGAAAAUAAAUAGAAUCAAAAUAUAAACAAACUUCAGAGUUUCAGUCAUAUUUUUCACUCUUUGAAUCUAAUGUAGGCUCUCAUAAUCAUUAAAUUGUUUAAACAUUUAUAAAAUUUUAAAAACUC
rnacentral:lncRNA from 1 species